rnacentral:rRNA from 1 species
UGAAAAGCCCGCUCGCCGGAAGACCAAGGGUUCCUGUCCAACGUUAAUCGGGGCAGGGUGAGUCGACCCCUAAGGCGAGGCCGAAAGGCGUAGUCGAUGGGAAACGGGUUAAUAUUCCCGUACUUGGUGUUACUGCGAAGGGGGGACGGAGAAGGCUAUGUUGGCCGGGCGACGGUUGUCCCGGUUUAAGCGUGUAGGUGUGUGUUCCAGGUA